rnacentral:rRNA from 1 species
CGGACGGGUGAGUAAUACUCAGGAAUCUGCCCAUUAGUGGGGGACAACAUUCGGAAACGGAUGCUAAUACCGCAUACGCCCUACGGGGGAAAGCGGGGGAUCUUCGGACCUCGCGCUAAUGGAUGAGCCUAAGUCGGAUUAGCUUGUUGGUGAGGUAAUGGCUCACCAAGGCGACGAUCCGUAGCUGGUCUGAGAGGACGAUCAGCCACACUGGGACUGAGACACGGCCCAG